AUGGUCACAAUUUGAAAAUUGGGGGAUUAAAUGACAUUUUUCCCAAUACAGCUCAGCUUAAAAUUUGCCAAGGUGGAGACAUAAUUGUUUUCUCUCCUGCAUCUUCUUCUUUUCCGCGAGAUGAUAAACUCGAUCGGAGAUGUUUUUGAUUGAAGAAUUAAGAAGUCUGAAAUUGGUAGAUCGCAGCUAUGUACUCCGACUCCGAUUUGCCGCCUCAGGCUGACGAGAGCCCGCAUGGGACUUAGCAAGAGCUGAUGUCCAUAAACGCAAUUGUCUUCUCUCCUGCGCAUCUUCUUCUAUAUAUGUGACGAAGGCGGACAUUCUUUGCAAAUUCUAGGUCGUAAAUGUUUAUGAACCUCUCCGCAUAAGGAAGACAAGGAGCAAUCAAUCCUCCUCUACGCAUGCCGUAAUUGUGAUCCCCAUGUAUCUUAUAAGACUCUUCUUAUUUAUGUUUGAUUUCAUAAAAUUAGGAUUCCAUAGUGUUAAAUUGUUAAUGGCACAUUGUGGUGUUGAAUCGGUGAAUGAUAUUAGACCUUUAUCGUCUUGAUAAAAAGCUAUGGCUGAAACUAAUAU